GUUGGAAUGAGCUGCGGAGCGGACGUGAGGGGUGAGGGGUCAGAUCCACACCCCGUCUGAUUCGCCGGCAGCCGUGUGCCAGCACUGCAGCAAAGUUAUCGCAUUAGGGAAAGCGCAGCGGGCGAACCUCGAAGCUGGUGUAUCGGUUUGGUGUUACCUGGCAGCCAGGAAAAGGACACAGCUGACAGUCAGCUGGACCCGGUAGAGAAUGCUUAUACCCAGGGACAUGAAGGGCUUGGAGAAGUCGAUGACUUUCUCUCUCUCUGAAGUGAUGGUGAAGCCCGCCACCGCCAGGACCCGUUGGGCUCCGGGGCCCCGUACAGCCCGUCGUCCACCAGCUUGAUCCGGAAGGAGAACUUGAGGAUGUCGGCCAGCUCCCUCAGCAUGUCCACGCAGAAGCCCUCGUACUGGUCGUUGCCCUUCAAGUCUU